ACCACUCCCACAAACGUCUACGACCGCGCCUACAUAGUUUUGCAUGUUUACAAUUCUAAUUUUGAACAGCCACGAUUGGACACGUCGAUUGGCUGUUUAAAAUUAGAAUUAUAAACAUGCAAAACUAUGUAGGCGCGGUCGUAGACGUGUGUGGGAGUGGU